CAAUAGCGUAUAUUAAAGUUGUUGCGGUUAAAAAGCUCGUAGUUGGAUUUCUGUUGGGAACGACCGGUCCGCCCAUUGGGUGUGUAUCUGGCUUGUUCUCGGCAUCUUCUUGGUGAACGUUGCUGCACUUGACUGUGUGGAGCGCUACCCAGGACUUUUACUUUGAGGAAAUUAGAGUGUUUCAAGCAGGCAUAUGCCUUGAAUACAUUAGCAUGGAAUAAUAAGAUAGGACCUCGGUUCUAUUUUGUUGGUUUCUAGAGCUGAGGUAAUGAUUAAUAGGGAUAGUUGGGGGCAUUCGUAUUUAACUGUCAGAGGUGAAAUUCUUGGAUUUGUUAAAGACGAACUACUGCGAAAGCAUUUGCCAAGGAUGUUUUCAUUGA
rnacentral:rRNA from 1 species